UACGUAGGGGGCAAGCGUUGUCCGGAAUCAUUGGGCGUAAAGCGUGUGUAGGCGGCCAGGUAAGUCCGUUCUGAAAGCCCGGGGCUCAACCCCGGGAGGCGGAUGGAUACUGCUUGGCUCGAGUCCGGAAGAGGCGAGUGGAAUUCCCGGUGUAGCGGUGAAAUGCGCAGAUAUCGGGAGGAACACCAAUGGCGAAGGCAGCUCGCUGGGACGGUACUGACGCUGAGACGCGAAAGCGUGGGGAGCAAACAGG
rnacentral:rRNA from 1 species